AGUUCGGUAGUGACCCCACAUCAAAUUGCAAAUUUGAAGAAGCACCCUAAAGGGUGCCCGGACUU
rnacentral:tRNA from 1 species